rnacentral:rRNA from 1 species
GACGAACGCUGGCGGCGUGCCUAAUACAUGCAAGUCGAACGAGUGGCGGACGGGUGAGUAACACGUGGGAACCUACCCAUAAGUGGGGGAUAACGAAUGGAAACGGUGGCUAAUACCGAAUACUAUCGGAUGAACCCAUAUGGGAGUAGCUAGUAGGUGGGGUAAGGGCUCACCUAGGCGACGAUCUCUAGCUGGUCUGAGAGGAUGAUCAGCCACACUGGCACUGAGACACGGUCCAGACUCCUACGGGAGGCAGCAGUGGGGAAUAUUGCACAAUGGGCGCAAGCCUGAUGCAGCCAUGCCGCGUGUAUGAAGAAGGCCUUAGGGUUGUAAAGCACUUUCAGCGGGGAGGCGUUACCCGCAGAAGAAGCACCGGCUAACUCCGUGCCAGCAGCCGCGGUAAUAC